UAGCUCAGUCAGUUGAGCGUGGCGCUAACAACGCUAAGGUUGCGGGUUCGAUUCCUGU
rnacentral:tRNA from 1 species